UUAUUUCCAUUUUUAUCCUCACCUUCUCCACACAAGCUUUCAACUGGGUUUCAACUGUUUUUAAAGAUAUCCAUCCUCUCUUAGAAACACACCUUCAAAACAUAAGAACCCUACAGAGAGUAGAAGGCGUUCUUUUGAGCUUUCAUCAAUGGCAGAUUGGAAUCGAGAUCAAGCUGAAGAACCGCUCAAGGAGGGGAGGGCAAGAACCCGCCGCGGCGCACAACGCACGAGCUUCAACAAUACUGAGAAUAGAAUCUUCUCAGAAGCUAGCACAGAGUCUGGGAUAUCCAGAUUCGGGGAUGGAGAUUCGGGUGCAAACUUCAACAAUGAUGACAAUUUAAUUGUUUCAGUCGGAAGCACUAGUUGUGGGAUUACCUGCUUUGGCAACAUGAACUACAAAAAGUCGACCAUCUUAUUUCUUCUU